rnacentral:hammerhead_ribozyme from 1 species
AUCCACCUGACUAGUCCCAAAUAGGACGAAACGCGUGUCCUGAAU